UCUUGCCAAACCUUCAGAUAUCGAUGAGCCUCAGAGAGACUUGCUCAUUUGCCGCCAAGCCAGAUCUGCUGACUCCAGGACCACAGCUGGAGUCAGGAGCUUUGACCUCUGUGAAGCCAUCCAGCCCACCCCAUAAGGAUUCUCCCUAUGGUGUUAUUGAACCCUUCAUUUUAACCUUCAUGAAGCUGGUGUUUUAGGUAUUUGGGAAGUCAGUUGGAGCAGCAGAAAUGGCAGAGUUUGCAGCUGAGAUGGCCUCUCAUGACUGAGUUUUUUCCCAAAAUGAUGUUGAAUUCCCUAGAUUUAUCCUAAUGGAGAUUCGUGCUCUCCUCAGAUGCUGAAACUGGCCCAGAAGUAACAAGUACAUAUUUGGCCCCAAAUCAUAUUAGUGGUUAGUGG